UCAAUUUUAAGAAGGUGUCUAGGGAUGU
rnacentral:piRNA from 1 species